AUUGAACGCUGGCGGCAGGCCUAACACAUGCAAGUCGAGCGGAGCGGCAGACGGGUGCGUAAUGCCUAGGAAUCUGCCUGGUAGUGGGGGAUAACGUCCGGAACCGGGCGCUAAUACUGCAUACUCUCGCCUGAGCAUAGGCCGGAUUAGCUAGUUGGUGGGGUAAAGGCCUACCAAGGCGACGAUCCCUAACUGGUCUGAGAGGAUGACCAGUCACACUGGAACUGAGACACGGUCCAGACUCCUACGGGAGGCAGCAGUGGGGAAUAUUGGACAAUGGGCGAAAGCCUGAUCCAGCCAUGCCGCGUGUGUGAAGAAGGUCUUCGGAUUGUAAAGCACUUGAAGUUGGGAGGCGUUACCAACAGAAUAAGCACCGGCUAACUUCGUGCCAGCCGCCGCGGUAAUAC
rnacentral:rRNA from 1 species